AUGCUACAAAAUCAUUCGAGGGAUUUGUCAGGGCUUGCGGUAUCUCCACAACAAAAAAUUAGUCAUUUAGACUUGAAACCUGAAAAUAUUAUGUUGGAUGUUGACAUGGAGGCCAAAAUUACGGAUUUUGGUCUAUCAAGAUUCCUAGAUCAAGGGCAGUCCAAAAUAUUUACUCAACACAUAUGUGGAACACUGCGAUAUAUUGCACCAGAAGUCAUAGAUAAAAGAGAAUUAUCGUUGAAGUCAGACAUAUAUGCUUUGGGCAUAAUUAUCAUAGAAUUAUUAACUGGUAUCAGCAUGAUAAGUCUCGAGAAUUGGGACGAGUCGUUAGACUUGCUAAACUGCCCAGGAGCGGAGAUGUGUAACCAAAUAGCUCACAAUUGCACGGACACUAACAAAGAUAACAGACCUACCAUACAUGAAGUAAUUCGUGACUUGGACAGCAUCAUUCCAAAGUCUUUCACGAACCAGGUCACCAGCACUGUCUUUCCUGGGACUGAGCUGCUCGAUGUGUACCCCGGGGAGCUUAGGUUCCUCUUCGUGCCAAACGGGGUAGAGAUGUCAUGUCACCUGAGCAUUACCAACAAGACAGAUGGUGAAGUCUACAGUGCAAUUACACCGAAAGAUCUGGAUAUUUAUGAAGAUGGUAAUGAAUAUUGUCUGCUUCCCAUGUCGACAACAGUUGUCACAGUGCGUAUGAAGGCGGUAAAGGAGCUUCCCUUGGACAUGGUUGAGUGGGAGAUAGUGAUGUUUACCACGUGUCGUGAUGCCCAAGCCAUCAGUGAACAUAUGCCUACAUCUUCCGAUGAUGAAGACAUGCCCGUUGAAGAUGUAAUGAAGGAACUCCAAGAGUUAUUUGGGGGCGACCUGCACCGGGCGGUAUUGAAAGCUCUCGUCAUUUUUGUCCAUGACGAUCUGAUGGAGGCGCAUACUACUCUAGGCCGGGAAAACAAAUAUAUUCGAAAUAAUGGGAUGGAUGUGCAUCCCACAUGGCCAUGGAUAGUAGUGGUCACUCAUCACAUGGUUUACAUUUGGAACUGGCAAACCAAUGAAGAAGUAGGACAUUAUAAGUCGCACAUGGGACGUGUACGCUAUUCGGUAGCUAAGUUUAUUGCUCAAGAACAAUGGGUUGUAAUCGGGGAUUCGGAUGGGUCUAUCCUUGUGCAUACAUGUCCCACAAUGGACCUGGUUAAGGAAUUCAAUGCUCACGGUGAUUGUGUCAGUUUAUUGGCAGUUCACCCAACUCGUCCGUUCUUGCUGUCAUGUUGUAAUUCUCCCCUAUCACUCAAGCUUUGGGAUUGGAAUCGCGACUGGUCUUGUACCAGAAUAUUUGAUGUCAGGUCACCUUUGAGGGAAGUCAUGUUUAACCCCAAGCAUAUUAGCACUUUCGCUACUCAUGAAGAUGGUGGUGUGAUCAAGACGUGGAGAAUUGGUCAUCCCAGUCCCGUUGCCAAAAUGCACAAGCUAGAUGGCAAACCCUUGUGGCCUAUCAAUUGCUUCACCUAUAGUGGUGAUCAGCAUUUCAUUGCUACUAUUCUUGGCAAGACCACAUACAUAUUGGAUUUGCAAAAAGAAGAAUGUGUCCACACACUUUAUUCUUCAGAAACUGAAGAUAGAAUUUACACAAACCAUCAUAUUUCAGCAAGUGGGGAGAGUAUUUUUGUUGUCGCUUGCCACCCAACACGUCCAGUAUUAGUUACCGCUUCACAGAAUGGGAGUAUUCGUGUGUUGGAUUCCACUACCUACAGGCUUAAGAAGGCCUAUGAUAAUUUGGGAAAGAAUCCUAUACAUGUCGGGUUUACAGGCUCAAGCAGACUCGUGAUCGGAUACAGAAACGGAACAAUAUCGGUAAUCGAUAUGGAUCUGGAAUAG
rnacentral:rRNA from 1 species